rnacentral:rRNA from 1 species
GAUGAACGCUGGCGGCGUGCCUAAUACAUGCAAGUCGAGCGAAUGGAUUAAGAGCCUGCUCUUAUGAAGUUAGCGGCGGACGGGUGAGUAACACGUGGGUAACCUGCCCAUAAGACUGGGAUAACUCCGGGAAACCGGGGCUAAUACCGGAUAACAUUUUGAACCGCAUGGUUCGAAAUUGAAAGGCGGCUUCGGCUAUCACUUAUGGAUGGACCCGCGUCGCAUUAGCUAGUUGGUGAGGUAACGGCUCACCAAGGCAACGAUGCGUAGCCGACCUGAGAGGGUGAUCGGCCACACUGGGACUGAGACACGGCCCAGACUCCUACGGGAGGCAGCAGUAGGGAAUCUUCCGCAAUGGACGAAAGUCUGACGGAGCAACGCCGCGUGAGUGAUGAAGGCUUUCGGGUCGUAAAACUCUGUUGUUAGGGAAGAACAAGUGCUAGUUGAAUAAGCUGGCACCUUGACGGUACCUAACCAGAAAGCCACGGCUAACUACGUGCCAGCCGCCGCCGUAA